UACAUGGGGUGCAAACGUUGCUCGGAAUUAUUGGGCGUAAAGCGCACGUAGGCGGUUUGUUAAGUCGGAUGUGAAAUCCCUCGGCUCAACUGAGGAAGUGCAUCCGAAACUGGCAAGCUUGAGUACGAAAGAGGGUCGCGGAGUUCCCGGUGUAGAGGUGAAAUUCGUAGAUAUCGGGAGGAACACCGGUGGCGAAGGCGGCGACCUGGGUCGAUACUGACGCUGAGGUGCGAAAGCGUGGGGAGCAAACAGG
rnacentral:rRNA from 1 species